AAGUUAUGAUGUGGGCAUCGAAGAAGUAACUCUUUAAAUCUCUCCCAACACUCAUAAAAAUGAUGUUCACCCUCUUUUUGUGUAAAAUUUGUAAUUUCACUACGAAGGGC